CCUACGGGAGGCUGCAGUGAGGAAUAUUGGUCAAUGGACGCGAGUCUGAACCAGCCAAGUAGCGUGCAGGAUGACUGCCCUCUGGGUUGUAAACUUCUUUUAUAUAGGAAUAAAACGAGGCUCGUGAGCCCUUUUGCAUGUACUUUAUGAAUAAGAAUAGGCUCACUCUGGGUCAGGAGCCGCGGUAUUACGGAGGAGCCGCGCGUUAUCCGGAUUUAUUGGGUUUAAAGGGAGCGUAGAUGGGUGGUUAAGGCAGUUGUGGAAGUAUGCGGCUCAACCGUAAAAGUGCAGUUGAUACUGGCAGUCUUGAGUACAGUGGAGGUAGGCGGAAUUCGUGGUGUAGCGGUGAAAUGCUUAGAUAUCACGAAGAACCCCGAUUGCGAAGGCAGGUUACUAGACUGUGACUGACACUGAGGCUCGAAAGUGUGGGUAUCAAACAGGAUUAGAUACCCUUGUAGUC
rnacentral:rRNA from 1 species